rnacentral:rRNA from 1 species
GAUGAACGCUAGCGGGAGGCUUAACACAUGCAAGUCGAGCGGUAGGGACCUUCGGGUUCUGAGAGCGGCGCACGGGUGCGUAACGCGUAUGCAACCUGCCUUAUGCAGGGGGAUAGCCCAUGGAAACGUGGAUUAAUACCCCAUAGAUCAGCAGUCCUGCAUGGGACAACUGGUAAAGGUAUUCCGGCAUAAGAUGGGCAUGCGUCUGAUUAGCUAGAUGGUAGGGUAACGGCCUACCAUGGCGACGAUCAGUAGGGGUUCUGAGAGGAUUACCCCCCACACUGGUACUGAGACACGGACCAGACUCCUACGGGAGGCAGCAGUGAGGAAUAUUGGUCAAUGGGCGGAAGCCUGAACCAGCCAUCCCGCGUGAAGGAUGAAGGCCUUAUGGGUUGUAAACUUCUUUUCUGAUGGAAGAAAUUCCCCGACGCGUCGGGGUUUGCCGGUACAUCAGGAAUAAGCAUCGGCUAACUCCGUGCCAGCAGCCGCGGUAAUACGGAGGAUGCAAGCGUUAUCCGGAUUUAUUGGGUUUAAAGGGUGCGCAGGUGGCUUAGUAAGUCAGUGGUGAAAGUCUGCCGCUUAACGGUAGGACUGCCAUUGAUACUGCUAGGCUUGAGUUUGGAUGAGGUAGGCGGAAUGUGUAGUGUAGCGGUGAAAUGCAUAGAUAUUACACAGAACACCGAUUGCGAAGGCAGCUUACUAAUCCGCAACUGACACUGAGGCACGAAAGCGUGGGGAUCAAACAGGAUUAGAUACCCUGGUAGUCCACGCUGUAAACGAUGAUCACUCGCUGUUUGCGAUACACAGUAAGCGGCUAAGCGAAAGCGUUAAGUGAUCCACCUGGGGAGUACGAUCGCAAGGUUGAAACUCAAAGGAAUUGACGGGGGCCCGCACAAGCGGAGGAACAUGUGGUUUAAUUCGAUGCAACGCGAAGAACCUUACCAGGUCUUGACAUCCUCUGACAAUCUGAGAGAUCAGACUUUCCCUUCGGGGACAGAGAGACAGGUGGUGCAUGGUUGUCGUCAGCUCGUGUCGUGAGAUGUUGGGUUAAGUCCCGCAACGAGCGCAACCCCUGUGGUUAGUUGCCAUCAUUCAGUUGGGCACUCUAAGCAGACUGCCGUGGAUAACACGGAGGAAGGUGGGGACGACGUCAAAUCAUCAUGCCCCUUAUGACCUGGGCUACACACGUGCUACAAUGGUCUGAACAGAGGGCUGCGAAACCGCGAGGUGAAGCUAAUCCCUUAAAACAGAUCUCAGUUCGGAUUGCAGGCUGAAACUCGCCUGCAUGAAGUUGGAGUUGCUAGUAAUCGCAGAUCAGAAUGCUGCGGUGAAUGCGUUCCCGGGUCUUGUACACACCGCCCGUCACACCACGAGAGUUGGCAACACCCGAAGUCAGUGAGGUAACCGUAAGGAACCAGCUGCCGAAGGUGGGGUCAGUAAUUGGGGUG